rnacentral:rRNA from 1 species
UACAGAGGGUGCAAGCGUUAAUCGGAAUUAUUGGGCGUAAAGAGCUCGUAGGCGGUUUGUCGCGUCUGCCGUGAAAGUCCGGGGCUUAACCCCGGAUCUGCGGUGGGUACGGGCAGACUAGAGUGCAGUAGGGGAGACUGGAAUUCCUGGUGUAGCGGUGAAAUGCGCAGAUAUCAGGAGGAACACCGAUGGCGAAGGCAGGUCUCUGGGCUGUAACUGACGCUCAGGUGCGAAAGCGUGGGGAGCAAACAGG